AGCAAAGGAAACUCCACAGCUGACGGCACACAUCUGAAUGCAGGAUGUUGCAUGUUCAACUAUUCCAUAGUUGCAACAUCUGUUCUCAAAAAGAUCUUUCGUACGCCCUGCGAUUGGCUGGCGACCAAUCCAGGAUGUACCCUGUCUAUCGCCCGAAGUUGGCUGGGAUGGACUCCAGCCCCCCCGCGACCCUGUGUGCAGGAUAAGCGGUUUGACGACGGACGGAUGGACAAACUAAGACCCCAACGAGUCCAAAGAAAUAUCCACUUUCAGCAUUACACCAUUCAAAAUGACGGCGUGCUGCACGCCGCCAUGGAUUUCGGCAGGCUGACGGGGAAGCACGGCGUGAGGAUCGCGCUGAGCCCCUCGUACUCGGUGGAGGACUGCAGUCUGGCCGUGGGGAAGCUGGUGGGCCACCGCAGCGUGAAGUCCGCAGCGCGCAUGAACAACGCGGUGGUCAUCUUCCUCGACAGCGUGGAGAAGUCGGACGCGGUGGUGGUCAGCGGGAUUGCCGUGCACGGCGCGCUCGUGCCCGUUCUGCCUCUCCCCACGCCGGCGGUGAGAGUGACGGUGUCGAACGUCCCCCCGUUCAUCGGGGACGAGGCUCUGGUCAAGGAGCUGUCAAAGUAUG
ensembl:lncRNA